rnacentral:rRNA from 1 species
UACGUAGGGGGCAAGCGUUGUCCGGAAUUAUUGGGCGUAAAGGGUGUGUAGGUGGCGCGCUAAGUCGGGUGUGAAAUUUCGGAGCUUAACUCCGAAACUGCAUUCGAUACUGGCGUGCUUGAGGACUGGAGAGGAGACUGGAAUUCAUGGUGUAGCAGUGAAAUGCGUAGAGAUCAUGAGGAAGACCAGUGGCGAAGGCGGGUCUCUGGACAGUUCCUGACACUGAGACACGAAGGCCAGGGGAGCAAACGGG